GUACAUCAAUAGAGUGAUAAGAAGAAAACGCUCUCCGGUGCUGUGCUCUGUAAAUAUCACAAAUCACACAGUGGGAACCUGCGAGCAAGGCACACACUUCCACGCCGGUCAAUCUCAUUAGCGCGAACGUGAUGCGUAUGUGUUGUCAUGGAAGGUGAGGACGUUUUACCGUCUAGGGAACAUCAGAAAAUGUGAAAAUGAAUUUCGUUCCUGACCAAAAUUUGAUGUUAUAGACUCAAAAAAAUGAAGAAUAAAGACUAUAUAGACAGAAAAUACAAUUUUUGUUAUUACUAUUUUUUUUUUUUUCCAAUUCUGAAUGAAUAGUCCUAGACGUCUCGUCUCGUCUGUGCUGUCGUGUCAGGUUUUGUAACUUCUCGGAUACGGAUUUAUAUUUUUCCUCGGAGCACUGAAACCUAAUCUGUUGUGAAAUUGUUGAUACUGCUCAACGUGACAAAACGACCCCCCCCCCAGGAGUAACGAUUCACUUUAUAUGAGCCCUUAGGCAAAUUGACGUUGUGCCGAUCGUACACGCGCCAAACGGGCUCGUUUCCAGGCUCUACGUUUCACUAAACACUAUAAAGAUGAAUGUUAGUGCAGUCUUGGUAAGAACAUACUGUCACUCUGCUGUAACAUACGUAAUGAAUAUGCAACGGAUUGCAGAUACUAAAGCGGUGAUCAAAUAUACUGGUGGUGUAUUUGACGUGAUUGAGGUUUACGUCCAGCUUUGAGUAAUGUUUUUUGUUAUUCUUUUCCCCCACACUGUGUUAACCAGGUAGUAAAAAAAAUCACAGCCAACGUAUUUCGAGGAAUGAAAAUGAAUUAGGCAAACGAACAGAGUUGUUCCCUGGUAAUCAUUUUAAAAGUUCUGCUGCCAGUAAAUAAAAUGCAGAGUGCUCAGAUAUGAAAUGAAGCUCUUCGGACAAAAGAGAACCCACUUUCGUUAGCGUGGAAGAGUACGGGGUGCUCACACUGAGCUGCACACGGAGCUGCGCACGGAGCUGCUGGUGUUGGUUGGGGGUUGGUCAGAAUUCCUUCAGGAGGAGAGGAGAGGUGGGGUUUUUUGGUCAGAAUUCCUUUGGGAGUGAGUGGGACUGGUCAAAAUGUGAUCAUUUUAUUUGAUUUCUAUUGUUCUUUUAAUAAUACAGUCACAAAGCAGCUUUACAGGGAUUAGUCAGAGUUCCUUUGCGAGAAGGCAGGAUUGGUCAGAAAUCCGUCUUGAGAGGUGGGAUCAGUCAGAAUUCCUUUACGAGAGCAGGUGGGAUCAGUCAGAAUUCCUUUACGAGAGCAGGUGGGAUCAGUCAGAAUUCCUUUGCGAGAGCAGGUGGGAUCAGUCAGAAUUCCUAUGGCAGAGCAGGUUGGAUCAGUCAGAAUUCCUUUGCGAGUACAGGUGGGAUCAGUCAGGAUUCCUAUGGCAGAGCAGGUGGGAUCAGUCAGAAUUCCUUUGCGAGAGCAGGUGGGAUCAGUCAGAAUUCCUUUGCAAGAGCAGGUGGGAUCAGUCAGAAUUCCUUUGCAAGAGCAGGUGGGAUCAGUCAGAAUUCCUUUGCAAGAGCAGGUGGGAUCAGUCAGAAUUCCUUUGCAAGAGCAGGCGGGAUCAGUCAGAAUUCCUUCAAGAGAACGUGGGAGCAGGAUUUAAAAAAAAGAAAGGAAAGAAACAACAGUUUAAUGCACACCUCUACACCAUAGUAACUCAUGCGGCGUGUUUUGUAUCAUUAUCCUGCAACAUGAAGUGACCUCAAGUUUAGAGUUUGUUUAUUAUUCGAUAUUUGGCCUUUUUAAUGGGGGAAGUCCUUAGAUCAUUUUUUGUGUAAUUUGAGAGUGUUUUUUUCAUUCUAGAACAUGAUGACCUGCUUUACUUUCACUUUUUAUUUUAUUUUUUUC
ensembl:lncRNA